rnacentral:lncRNA from 1 species
ACUGCUGAAGAAUGCUGAUGUGGCAGUGAAACAGCCCAAAAGGAAGAGGAAGCUGAGUAUGGAUUCCAAAGAGCACUGAAUCUGGAAGGCUGCCUGGCCCUGCAGUGGCUGCACAGGACCCCUGGUCUUGGGAGCAGUUCUUGAAAGAGGAGGCGGCUGCAGCAGCACCCAUGGAGCUGUUUUCCAAGGUGUGUGGUUACUGUCUGAUGAUUGUUUAAGCUGCUAUGAUUUUUGGACCAAUGCCAGUUCCUCUGACAUCCAUCCAGUAAGGUGGAGUGAAAGGAGCAAACAUGAACUGCACAUCCCUGAAGCACGGGCCAGUGCCUGAAGACUUUCGGAUUGCAGUGAAGCUGGAACCCGUCGACAAGAAGAACCCCUCCUUGGUGUGUGUGGCAACCGUGGCAGAUCUUGUUUGGAGACCGCUUGCUAGUGGAUUUCCACAAUUGGGAUGAUAGUUUCCAUGACUGGUGGCUGAGUUUGUACAGUCUCUGCUGGGCUACGAAGAACAUGCCAAGUGCUUCAAGAAAGAGGUAGGAAAUAUAAAAAUUAUAUGUAUUUCUCUACUUCCAAGCCCAGAAGUGUUUUGUUCCCAUUGACUUCAGCGUAAACAAGAGUGGUUUGGGGAGGCAAGAGAAAGCGGUCCAGGCCAGAGGGGGCCCAGCGGGGCAGCCUCUGUCUGUGUCACUGACAUGAGCUGUGCUUUGUCACUGGAGGCUGCAGCCUAAGCUCUGCAGCUGCUCAUGACAGGGGCUAUUGCCACAUGUUAAUCAGUUAACUCCGGGGCUGGGCCCCUGCACUGUGACUUCAGCUGGGGGCAGGGAGGACCUGCCUUGGGGAGGAGCACUGGCUUGUCGUGCCCUGCCCAGCCCCUGCUCAGGGGACACAGAAGCCACACAAUCCUUCUGUGGAGCUUCUGCUUCCACACUCCUCUCGUUUGAACUGCUUACGGAAGUUGCUGUCUGUUCUGGGCCCUGACUUGAGAAUUGUCAUCCUUGGGUCCUUGCAGUGACUUGGAGGACAGGGCAGAUGGCCGAUGGGUAAGCUGGGGUGUGGCGUGGAAAGGAUUCCAGCCCACAUCCAUCUGCUUCCAGGGCUCCCGCCAUUGCUCUAGAACCCUCCACCACUGUUGUUCUAGAACCCUCCAAGAAAACUGCAGGCACAGGGACCCCUCUGAGGCUGUCAGGGCAUGCGUGGUGCUGGGAAGGUACUCUCUGAAUGCUGCGUCCUGGGACCCUCAGAGCUGACAAGCCCUCUGUUUCCAGGGAGUUCAGCACCAGAGCCAUUGCGGCUUUGGUCUGGAACUGCCCUUGGAACGUGGGGCUCACUGGCCCACCUGAGCCCAGCCUCACACACAUGGGUGCCCUCUGUGUCUGGCAGCACCCAAACCUGCCUUAUGCACAAUCUCCUUGCACAUCCAGCUGC